rnacentral:misc_RNA from 1 species
CGCUGGUGGCGAGCAUCGAGAGGCUAGUCGAAGCCAGAUCCAGUCUGCGCACCUGUUCCUAGAGCUCGCUUCCUGGAUAGGCAUAGGACGCUUUGACGGGCCUGAGACGAUCGCUCAGGCGCGGGAGAGCUACCCCGAGCUCAGUUUCAGCGAGGCCAUCACCGUGGCAGAGACCAUCUCCGCAACGCCACUAAUCCGGGGUCAAUUCGCGACGAUCGGAGGCAAGCCAGCCGCCUGCAUUGUUGAGGCGGCAAUCGACGCGGUUCGGACCGGGCUGGGCGCCGUCUCGGAGGAAUCUCUACGCGCGCUCUUCCCGACGUAUCGGAUUCGGCAGGACCCAGGGAUCAACCCGAAUACUGACUGGGCGACU